AUGGACGCCGGCGGCGAUGCUACCGAGAGCAAGGAGCAUUUUGUCCUAGUGCACGGUGCCGGCCACGGCGCCUGGUGCUGGUUCAGGCUCCUGCCCCUGCUCCGGGGCUCCGGCCACCGCGUCUCCUGCGUCGACCUUGCUGGGGCAGCCGGCAGCCGCGUCGACCCCGGCUCUGUCCGGUCGUUCGACGAGUACACCGCGCCGCUCGUCGACCUCCUGUCCGCGCUGCCAGACGGCGAAAAGGUGAUUUUGGUUGGGCACAGCGCAGGAGGGCUAAGUGUGACCCAUGCAAUGCAUUUAUUCAGCGACAGGAUUAAGCAGGCAAUCUUCAUAGCAGCAACCAUGCUCCCGUUUGGCUACCAAACGGAACAAGACAUCAAAGAUGGCGUACCUGAUUUAUCCGAGUUCGGGGACGUGUAUGACCUAGCAUUUGGUCUUGGAAUGGAUCACCCGCCAACGAGUGCAGCACUGCGGCCAGAGUUCCAGCGCAUGAUCCUGUCCCAGCAAAGCCCCCAAGAGGACUCUGCGCUUGCCUCCAUCCUACUCCGUCCAUGGCCUGCCGCCUUGAGCGCAGCCAGGUUUGGGAGAGGCGGCGGGGACAGCAGCGCGAUCGACCAGGUGCGGCGCGUGUACAUAACAACGGCAAAGGAUUGCAUGGUGAAGCCGGAGCAGCAGGAGGCGAUGAUUCACCGGUGGCCACCGAGCAAGGUUGUGGCCAUGGACACCGACCACAGCCCCUUCUUCUCCGCACCGGAGCGUCUCUUUCAGCUCAUUGUCAAGUUACCGUGA
rnacentral:rRNA from 1 species